AGCUCCCUUCUCUCUCCUCCGGUCCGGUCAGCUCCCCUGUCAGCUCCACUGUAAGUCUCGCGAGGGAGUGGGAGCUGACAAGGGAGCUGACCGGACAGGAGGAGAGAGAAGGGAGC